GGUGAGAUGGCCGAGUGGUUAUGGCGCUGCGUUCAGGACUUACCUGAAUUCACUCCUCGAGUUAACUCUCGAGAUUCAGAAGUUUCGCAGUGGAGCAAUCCGCGUGGGUUCGAGUCCCACUCUCAUCA